GUUUGAAUUGAAAGACGAUUUUGUUAAUAAAAUAAAAUUUGAGGGACGUAAUUAUUUCAAAUUAAUGGUAAUUUAGACAGAGGGACCAUUCUAUUAACGAAAUGAAAUCUCGAGGAAUAAGUUUUUUCUCAUAAAAGAAAUAUAGAGAUUAAUAUAUGAUUUUUGAUAUACCUCAAUGACUAACUUGUAAUUUACCCAAAAGAGAACUGUC
rnacentral:misc_RNA from 1 species